UGUGCUAUUCGAUACCAUACGAGCCACACAGCGAUAUGAGGCUGUUCGGGUGCUGGCUGUUGUUGAGCGGGGUGCACUGGCCCCGGGACACCGCAGCGAUCUUCAUGGAGACUUCUGACGGGCGCAGUAGAGGGCCGCUGGCCGGGACUCUCAGCUCGGUGGGCUCCGAAGAACACUCCCCGCCCAUCUUCAGACCUGGAUCCCAGGCAUACGUCGUAUCGCACUUCGUGAAACCCAAGCCCCCACACCAGUAUUGGGAGGAAGAGA